rnacentral:rRNA from 1 species
GACGAACGCUGGCGGCGUGCUUAACACAUGCAAGUCGAACGGUGAAGGGGUCUGCUUUUGUGGGCCCUGGAUGAGUGGCGAACGGGUGAGUAACACGUGAGUAACCUGCCCCCUUCUUCUGGAUAACCGCAUGAAAGUGUGGCUAAUACGGGAUAUUCUGGGUCUGUCGCAUGAUGGGUCUGGGAAAGAUUGCGCCUUUGGGUGUUUUUGGUGGGGGAUGGGCUCGCGGCCUAUCAGCUUGUUGGUGGGGUGAUGGCCUACCAAGGCGGUGACGGGUAGCCGGGCUGAGGGGGUGGCCGGUCACACUGGGACUGAGACACGGCCCAGACUCCUACGGGGGGCAGCAGUGUGGAAUAUUGCACAAUGGGCGCUAGCCUGAUGCAGCGACGCCGCGUGAGGGAUGGAGGCCUUCGGGUUGUAAACCUCUUUCGCCAGUGAAGCAGGCCUGCUCCUUGUGGGUGGGUUGACGGUAGCUGGAGAAGAAGCGCCGGCUAACUACGUG